CAGGCCUAACACAUGCAAGUCGGACGAGAAGGUUCCUUCGGGAACUGGAGAGUGGCGCACGGGUGAGUAACGCGUGGGGACCUACCUUUUAGUGGGGGAUAACGGUUGGAAACGACCGCUAAUACCGCAUACGCCCUUUUGGGGAAAGAUUUAUCGCUAAAAGAUGGACCCGCGUUGGAUUAGAUAGUUGGUGAGGUAACGGCUCACCAAGUCUUCGAUCCAUAGCUGGUUUGAGAGGAUGAUCAGCCACACUGGGACUGAGACACGGCCCAGACUCCUACGGGAGGCAGCAGUGGGGAAUAUUGGACAAUGGGCGGAAGCCUGAUCCAGCCAUGCCGCGUGAGUGAAGAAGGCCUUCGGGUUGUAAAGCUCUUUCAGAUGCGAAGAUGAUGACGGUAACAUCAGAAGAAGCCCCGGC
rnacentral:rRNA from 1 species